rnacentral:lncRNA from 1 species
GGAAAACGGUGUGCAAUUGGAGUUUUGGAAACGAUGAUGAAAGAGAGCUUUUCCAGGCAAAAAAUAAAUAAAUAAACGUCACUUUCUGUUCAUCAGCCAAAUCGGGGAAAAACAUGUUUUACAGGUGGCGAUGGUGGUCUUUGCACUUGGCCCAGAAAAGCUCAUAUCGCCUAAAUUACGUGACUCUCUACUGAGUGUUGGGACCCCUCUGACUCCAGGGCAGCUCCCCUAUCCGACUUCUGAUGAAGAUGAAUCGCGUGUCGCCGCUUCUAAUGUUCUUAUUUUUUUAUUUACUUUAAACAUGAUUCUCUUACAUUCUGUAUUUUGCUCUCUCUCUCUGUCUGUCUGUCUCUCUUUCUCUCUCUCUCUUCCCGUCUGCUUUUGACCCUAUUGACUGGUAAUUGCUAUAACGACGGCAAAUGGAGGCCAGUUUCUAUGGAGACAAUAAAACUGUCAUGUAGUGAAUAAUAAAUAUUUGCGUGGCAAUUUUGUGCUCCACUGACCCCAAAAGUCAAAGACAGAAAAUAAAC